ensembl:misc_RNA Metazoa_SRP Metazoan signal recognition particle RNA
CUGGAGUGCAGUGGCACACACCUGUAGUCCCAGCAGCUCAGGAGAUUGAGGUAGGAGAAUCGCUUGAGUUCAGGAGUUCUGGGCUAUAAUGUGCUAUGCUGAUUGGGUGUCUGCACUAAAUUCCGCAUCAGUAUGGUGACUUCCCAGGAGUGGGGAACCACCAGGUUGCCUAAGGAGGGGUGAACCAGCCCAGUUCAGAAAUAGUUAAAACUCCCAUGCUGAUCAGUAGUGAGAUUGCAUCUGUGAAUAGCCACUGCAGUCCAACCUGGGCAACAUAGUGAGACCCCAUCUCUA